rnacentral:rRNA from 1 species
UACGUAGAGUGCAAGCGUUGUUCGGAAUUACUGGGCGUAAAGCGCGCGUAGGCGGGCUUGAAAGUUGAUUGUGAAAGCCCUGGGCUUAACCCGGGAAUUGCAGUCAAAACUACAAGUCUUGAGUGCCUGAGAGGAUGGCGGAAUUCCCGGUGUAGUAGUGAAAUACGUAGAUAUCGGGAAGAACACCUGAGGCGAAGGCGGCUGUCUGGCGGUGCAUCGACGCUGAGGCGCGAAAGCGUGGGGAGCAAACAGG